CCUACGGGUGGCUGCAGUGGGGAAUAUUGGACAAUGGGGGCAACCCUGAUCCAGCCAUGCCGCGUGUGUGAAGAAGGCCCUCGGGUUGUAAAGCACUUUCAGUGAGGAAGAACGCCUGGUGGUUAAUACCCAUCAGGAAAGACAUCACUCACAGAAGAAGCACCGGCUAACUCCGUGCCAGCAGCCGCGGUAAUACGGAGGGUGCGAGCGUUAAUCGGAAUUACUGGGCGUAAAGCGCGCGUAGGUGGCUUGAUAAGCCGGUUGUGAAAGCCCCGGGCUCAACCUGGGAACGGCAUCCGGAACUGUCAAGCUAGAGUGCAGGAGAGGAAGGUAGAAUUCCCGGUGUAGCGGUGAAAUGCGUAGAGAUCGGGAGGAAUACCAGUGGCGAAGGCGGCCUUCUGGACUGACACUGACACUGAGGUGCGAACGCGUGGGUAGCAAACAGGAUUAGAUACCCUGGUAGUC
rnacentral:rRNA from 1 species